CAGAAGAUAUCUGUGAAGAAUGAGAUGGUAGCAUUAAGUGGCUGUGUGAAGGAUGAAAUAGUAAAAUCUACUGCCCGUUGAGAAAAGAAUUCUUGUUUGCUGACUCUGGGAGUUCUGCUUUGGCUCAGGGUGUCUCUGCCUUCACAGAGCUGAUAUGGUGACUUCUGAGUCAGCUUACUUCUGAGUGAAAUAAGAAUCUCUAAGGAAAUUAUGCUCGUUUGGAUGGGAGUCGACUGAUGGCUGAGCAAACUUCCGAUUAGUAACUGCACGCCUCCAGCUUGACAAAGCUUACCUUGGACCUGGGGAGAGAUGACGGAAAAAUAUCAGACUGUGCCUUGAACAGCACGGAGGGGUUGGAAAAUACAAUUGUGUUUGCGGAAAGCACCCAGUGUAUACAGCCUGCAUGGCUGCAUGAUGGUCUCACUAUUGAAAAGACUGGCAGUGAGAAAUUGCAAACAGAGUGAACACAUCGUUUGUACCCUCCAGCUACUACAUAUCUUGGGACAGAUGUUUGAUGGAAAACAUUUGCUGGAAAGAAGCUGAAAUAAACAAACAUUAUUCAUUUGAAAGGCGAUGAUGAGUAUUAUGAAGAUGGUGGAAGGUGCCAGGGUCAGUAAAAGUUAAUUUGGAAAACCUAACUUUGCCAAAAUGAAACUAUUA